AACUACGUUUGUUCUUGGCAUAAGCUUUUGUGUGCAUGCACACUUCUUCAGAUAGGGUCUGGUGACUUCUGUUUCAGUGUAUCUGAAGAAGUGUGCAUGCACACAAAAGCUUAUACCAAGAACAAACUUAGUUGG
rnacentral:miRNA from 1 species